UAGAAUAAUAUUUCACAUCGUUUUAAUCAUGAGGAAGAAAAAGCUAGCUGGGAUUGGUCACGAGAAUUUCGUUUGAGAUAUCCAGAGUUGUUGAGAAGUUUCAAGCUAAAAUCUGCAGCUUAAAAAAAGGAGCUAAGUCCAUGAAGACUUUGCCAGAUGACACCAUCAAAGAAAAAAUUGAUGAAUCAAAUACACAGAAAUCUAAUGAGUUUGAACAGAACAACAAUUACUAACGACCAACAAUAACAUCUGAAAUUUAUGUCGAUACAAGAAUGAAUGUACCUAUCCUAUUUUGGGCUCCUGUAGGAAAGUGGAAUACCAGAGUAAAUGAAAAAUGGGAGAAAGCGAGGAUAAGCAAGAGUUAUAAAAUAUUGCUAUAAAAUGAAAGGGCAGGAAAUGAAACUUAGAAGUAUUAUAACACGUUUGAGAUAUAAAUAAAACAAUCAUUAAUCAAUAGAUCAAAUUCAGUUAUAAACAAAUAGUUUACAUUUAAUCACAAUUUCUAUUCACUUUGAAGUGAAAUUGCAAUAAAGUGCAAUCGCUAAGGAAUUUUUGCAAUAUAAUCGCUAAAAUACCAGAAUUGAAACAUGUGUACUCGAAUAAACGCUGAAGAUUUCAAAAUAGUGAUUAAAUAUAAAUUAGCCAAACUGAAUAAUCACACAAAAAUGUUAAUUACUUAAAAAUAUAACUAUAUCAGUGUA